UACGGGGGGGGCAAGCGUUGUUCGGAAUUACUGGGCGUAAAGGGCUCGUAGGUGGCCAACUAAGUCGGACGUGAAAUCCCUCGGCUUAACCGGGGAACUGCGUCCGAUACUGGUUGGCUUGAGUUUGGGAGAGGGAUGCGGAAUUCCAGGUGUAGCGGUGAAAUGCGUAGAUAUCUGGAGGAACACCGGUGGCGAAGGCGGCAUCCUGGACCGGGAUUGACACUGAGGCGCGAAAGCCAGGGGAGCAAACGGG
rnacentral:rRNA from 1 species